CCUACGGGCGGCAGCAGUAGGGAAUAUUGCUCAAUGGGGGAAACCCUGAUGCAGCAACGCCGCGUGGGGGAUGAAGUUUCUCGGUUUGUAAACCUCUAUCGUUAGAGAAGAAAAUGACGGUACCUAACUAAUAAGCACCGGCUAACUACGUGCCAGCAGCCGCGGUAAUACGUAGGGUGCAAGCGUUACCCGGAUUCACUGGGUGUAAAGAGAGCGUAGGCGGGAUAGCAAGUCAGAUGUGAAAUCCGAUGGCUUAACCAUAGUACUGCAUUUGAAACUGUUAUGCUAGAGUAUGGGAGGGGUAGGUGGAAUUCUUGGUGUAGGGGUAAAAUCCGUAGAGAUCAAGAGGAAUACUCGUGGCGAAGGCGACCUGCUAGAACAUAACUGACGCUGAUGCGCGAAAGCGUGGGGAGCAAACAGGAUUAGAUACCCGUGUAGUC
rnacentral:rRNA from 1 species